UACAGGGGGUGCAAACGUUGCUCGGAAUCAUUGGGCGUAAAGCGCACGUAGGCGGUUCGUUAUGUCGGAUGUGAAAGCCCUUGGCUUAACCGAGGAAGUGCAUCCGAAACUGGCGAGCUAGAGUACUAAAGAGGAUCACGGAAUUCCCGGUGUAGAGGUGAAAUUCGUAGAUAUCGGGAGGAACACCGGUGGCGAAGGCGGCGAUCUGGGUCGAUACUGACGCUGAGGCACGAAAGCGUGGGGAGCAAACAGG
rnacentral:rRNA from 1 species